GACCUUGUCAAGUUCGUUCUCCACAUCAGUUCUGUUCAUAACAAAGGGCGACCUACACUAAUAAAUAUUGCCCAAAUUUUGCACUUUUCGAACUGUUUUGAAUUGAAACGUACUCUAGUUUAUAUUCAUUUACAAUAGCGAACCAGAAAACUGUUAGAUAUUUAGUUAAUAGUAUGUCUUAUUUUACAAAUAUAUAGCAGUCCAAAAUAUAAACAAAGCGUCGAAGGAUUUAUUUACAUUACGCGGACUUGACAUGCAUGGUCUUCAAAAGUUUGAAGUACUAUAGGCGAAGCCGAGUAUCUUUUAUAAGUCUGAUAAAACACGCACUGCGGAUGUAAAUUUUAUGUCUACAAUCUAGAUAAAGCAUGAGCGGCCGUGUUGUAUCAAAUGUACAAACUUGAGCCAAAGACAAGAGGUACGUGUAUGUCUGGGACAACAAUGUCACAACAUGUACGCGAUACUUCGUAUGACUUGUGAUCAAACGUUUGAGAACAUUCUUAUUCUUCAACAAUUUUAAAUAUUCAAUGAAUGAUAUUUGGUGAGAAAAUUUAACUUAAAGUUUAUCUAAAUGAGUUUUUUUAGUACUAUUUAAUACAUGAUCAGCAGUGUUUUAUCAGAUAUAAAAUAGGAGGCGAAGCCGAAUAUCUUUACUCUUUAGGUCUGAUAAUAAAGAAGACAUCGGCACUGUAUUUUAAAUUGCUUCAAAAACGAUCGCUCCAUACUACGGUCAUUGGCGAAGUAAUUUUCAAAAAAUACGUUGUGUAAGUCGAGAAAAUCAAAGUUAAAGUUUAUGUAAAUCAAGGGAAAUCUCUAUCACAUGUAAACGACACGCUUAUGUUAUGAUUUUUCUUUGUGUUUUC